rnacentral:lncRNA from 1 species
UUAACGCGAAGUAGCGAGUGAGAAACAACAAAAUAUCAAAACUUAAUCCGAUUUUGGUGAUCCUCUUUCUUUUUUUUUAACAAGUUGGAGAUUUUCAGCAAGAAACAGUCAAAACACAUUGAAAUUUAGAUAUAUUAUGUACCGAUCUACAUACAAGAAAAAUAUUAAAUGUUACUUAGUUUUUUUAGAUAUUAAAUUUUUAAUUUUGUGGA